GGCUUAGAGUUUGAUCCUGGCUCAGAUUGAACGCUGGCGGCAUGCCUUACACAUGCAAGUCGAACGGCAGCGCGGGGGGUAACUCCUGGCGGCGAGUGGCGAACGGGUGAGUAAUAUAUCGGAACGUGCCCUGGAGUGGGGGAUAACUAGUCGAAAGAUUAGCUAAUACCGCAUACGAUCUACGGAUGAAAGUGGGGGAUUCGCAAGAACCUCAUGCUCGUGGAGCGGCCGAUAUCUGAUUAGCUAGUUGGUAGGGUAAAAGCCUACCAAGGCGACGAUCAGUAGCUGGUUUGAGAGAACGACCAGCCACACUGGGACUGAGACACGGCCCAGACUCCUACGGGAGGCAGCAGUGGGGAAUUUUGGACAAUGGGGGCAACCCUGAUCCAGCAAUGCCGCGUGUGUGAAGAAGGCCUUCGGGUUGUAAAGCACUUUUGUCAGGGAAGAAACGGUGAGGGCUAAUNUNCUUUGCUAAUG
rnacentral:rRNA from 1 species